UACGUAGGGGGCAAGCGUUGUCCGGAUUUAUUGGGCGUAAAGAGCGUGUAGGCGGCCAAGCAGGUCCGCUGUGAAAACUCGAGGCUCAACCUCGAGACGUCGGUGGAAACCGUUUGGCUAGAGUCCGGAAGAGGAGAGUGGAAUUCCCGGUGUAGCGGUGAAAUGCGCAGAUAUCGGGAAGAACACCCGUGGCGAAGGCGGCUCUCUGGGCAUGUCCUGACGCUGAGGAGCGAAAGUGUGGGGAGCGAACAGG
rnacentral:rRNA from 1 species